CAAGCAACAGACAGAUUUAUUUCAGCCGUUGAUACUUAGCUAGCUCGUUUAAAACUCGACGUUUUCAUCUUCAUUUAAUUCUAUAUUUAACCAUUUGCUAGGUUUCUCUACGAAAAUUGCAUUGAAACAUUUAAAUGUUAUGUCGAAAUUGAUUGAAUUUCAUUACAUAAUCUAGUUUAAGAGCAGAAUAGGAUUCCUAGCGCCGAGUGUACUGAAUUCAACAGAAAUUCGCAUUACGAUGCACACCAAGAAGACCGACAGGAAGGAUUCACAUGUUCAAAUGUCCCAGGCCCCUCUGAGUGAAGGGCUAAAUUUGAUCUUUGAUCAGGAUGCCCAAUCCAGCUCUUCCUGUUCUCGUUACCCAUCUAGAAGUAGUCAUACCAGUAGCCAGUCCUCUGGCUCUAGACGACAACUUAGGCGAAAUAAUGCUCGUAGGGGACGUCACAGGUCCUCCACCAGUUCUUCGUCCUCCAGAUCAUCCCACUCCUCCAACAGCAGCCCUCGGACCCGUCCCAGGUCCCGGUCACACCCGCGCUGCCACAGAGCCUCCUCCAGCUCACGCUGCUGCCGUCAACAUCAACAGGCCCGUGGACAUAGGCGCCACCGCUCACCAUCACGCAGUUACAGGGCUCACUCACGCUCCUACAGCCCUUCCUCUUCCCCAGACAGGCCAAACCGCCACAGUUCCCGCUCCAGGUCAGCCAGCUGGAGCAGGGUUCAUAGGGGGUUUGUGGGCAGGUACAAGUGCAGGUUUUCUGGAUCACCCAACAGAAGCCACAAGACCAACACGAGCCGCUCCACAUCUUCAGGACGCUCAUUUGUCAGCCUCCGUAUAGAGAAAAAGGGGGGACUCAGGACUACGAAUGCCACCCAGGCACUGGGGAUGGAGCAACUGGACCUUCCUGGGAGUGUGACUCCCAUCCUGGAGGAGCAGCAACUGAAAACCGGACUAGCCACACCAGAACCAGAGGAACGGGUGAGACCAGAGCCACUCCCUCAAAAGAGUCUAUCACAGGUGGGUGUUCAGGGAGAUUUGAUCAUGUUGAACAUACCGUCUAUGAACAUGACACACACAGAAGAAGCCUAGCAAUUGAAAUUGCUCAAAGUUCAGUUGUUGACGUCAUAACCGCACCACCUAGGCCAUUUUAAAACACAGUCUGGAGAUCUUUCCCUACCAUGUAGUCUGAACUUCAGGACUUCUGAUUCUGUCUUCUGUGAAACUGCUUGUCUGUUAACCUUGCACCUGUCAGAGAACACACUUGCUCUGUUUGUAUUUAUUCCUGUUUUUGUAGAUCUCAUGAGUUGUCUUCUCUCCACGGCCCCUCGGAUUAGGAGAAUAAGAGGGCAGUCAUGUGACUUGGGUGAUGUCAUUGCGUUUGCGUGAAAAGGUUAUCUGAUUAAUCUUAUCAUGCUCACAGUGCCAAUGCAAGUCCAGUAGCAGGAAUGGAUUGUUUUGUCCAGCAAUGCAGAGUCUCCCUCCUACUCUCUGAAGAAGCGCAGGCGUUUGGACUGCGUUAUUGUGACUAUUCCUGACAAGAGAACUUUAAACAGAUGGCC